rnacentral:rRNA from 1 species
CCUACGGGUGGCAGCAGUGAGGAAUAUUGGUCAAUGGACGAGAGUCUGAACCAGCCAAGUAGCGUGAAGGAUGACUGCCCUAUGGGUUGUAAACUUCUUUUAUAUGGGAAUAAAAUGUUCCACGUGUGGGAUUUUGUACGUACCAUAUGAAUAAGGAUCGGCUAACUCCGUGCCAGCAGCCGCGGUAAUACGGAGGAUCCGAGCGUUAUCCGGAUUUAUUGGGUUUAAAGGGAGCGUAGGUGGAUUGUUAAGUCAGUUGUGAAAGUUUGCGGCUCAACCGUAAAAUUGCAGUUGAAACUGGCAGUCUUGAGUACAGUAGAGGUGGGCGGAAUUCGUGGUGUAGCGGUGAAAUGCUUAGAUAUCACGAAGAACUCCGAUUGCGAAGGCAGUUCACUGGACUGCAACUGACACUGAGGCUCGAAAGUGUGGGUAUCAAACAGGAUUAGAUACCCUAGUAGUC